rnacentral:rRNA from 1 species
UACGUAGGGUGCGAGCGUUGUCCGGAAUUAUUGGGCGUAAAGGGCUCGUAGGCGGUUUGUCGCGUCGAAUGUGAAAACCCGGGGCUCAACCCCGGGCCUGCAUUCGAUACGGGCAGGCUGGAGUUCGGUAGGGGAGACUGGAAUUCCUGGUGUAGCGGUGAAAUGCGCAGAUAUCAGGAGGAACACCGGUGGCGAAGGCGGGUCUCUGGGCCGAUACUGACGCUGAGGAGCGAAAGCGUGGGGAGCGAACAGG